UUAGAGCAAUAAUUAAUACAGAGACUGUAUGGCAAGAAUAAACAGACACUAUUUCCAGAUAAAAGGUAAAAUAAUAUUGUUGAAGUGCCAUGGGUUUGCUGAGACCACAUCUAGUACUGAGAAUAAAUGUAUCUUACAGACCAUAACAGUCAGUUUUGAUUAAGAA